AGGAGAAGAUCUAGAAGCAGUUGUCUAAAAGCUAGUGACUCUGGCCCAAACAAUGAAGGAAAAGGACCCCCUCAGGAGUCUCGGUGAUAUUUUUCCUGGUGUUGGAAGGGAAGGAAGAGCAGGAUGAUAAAGAAGGAGAUCCUAUUGCACCUGUGUUUCAAGCUUGGGAAGAGGUGUAAAGAAGCCCAGGGGAAGGCGGAGAAUGGGACUAUACUGUGGAUAUGGUGGUGGUGGAGCUAAGCAAUGGCUGGAACUGAUUUGAAUUAGAGUUAACUGCAUAGGUGGGAGGGUAGGAAAUUAAAUGAGUGAACUCAAACUUGAGGUUUGAAGAGAAACAGCUAGUAAGAGUUGUAUUUGUAUGGAGGAGAUGUUAUAUGCAAAAGCACUAAACAGGGUUUCAGGCUUAAAAUCUCAUGACACACCAAAUGGCACAAUAUAAUUUUUCAGACCCCUUAAUCUCAGGGCCUUAGCAUAAAGAUCCUGAAGUCUGACAUCCAAACUCAUUUUUCUGUAAGCAUCCUUACUACUUCUCACUGAAGUUUUCAUUCUCCUGAAUAGACCUAGC